GAGGGUAUAGCUCAGUGGUAGAGUGCCUGCCUAGCAUGGAUGAGUUCCUGGGUUCAAUCCCCAGUACUUCCA
rnacentral:tRNA from 1 species